rnacentral:rRNA from 1 species
AGGGUUUGAUCCUGGCUCAGGACUAACGCUGGCGGCGUGCCUAAUACAUGCAAGUCGAACGGGAUUCUUUGAUCAGCUUGCUGAGAGAAGGAUCUAGUGGCGGACGGGUGAGUAACGCGUGGGAAUCUGCCUCUUACUGGGGGAUAACAGUGGGAAACUACUGCUAAUACCGCAUAAGAUCUUCGGAUGAAAGGUGCAACUGCACCGGUAAGAGAUGAGCCCGCGUCCCAUUAGCUAGUUGGUGAGGUAAAGGCUCACCAAGGCGACGAUGGGUAGCCGGCCUGAGAGGGUGAACGGCCACACUGGGACUGAGACACGGCCCAGACUCCUACGGGAGGCAGCAGUAGGGAAUCUUCCGCAAUGGGCGCAAGCCUGACGGAGCGACGCCGCGUGAGUGAUGAAGGCCUUCGGGUCGUAAAGCUCUGUCCUAUGGGAAGAUAAUGACGGUACCAUAGAAGAAAGCCCCGGCUAACUACGUGCCAGCAGCCGCGGUAAUAC